rnacentral:lncRNA from 12 species
CUGGGCCCGAGCGCUCGUGGGGCCGGUCCCCCGCGCGGGGCCUGCGGGGCGCCUGCGGACGUGGACUCGUCGGGCUCCCACCGCGCGGAUGGGGGGGACCCCGCGCACUUGGACGUGUGCCCGCGGCGGCCGCACCCACCGCGCCCGUGGCCCCCGUGUCCUGCUGCGGGUCCGCCCCCCCGCAGCCCGCUCACCGAAUCCCGACUUUGAACCCAAAGGCGGCCGGAGCGCGUGGGGUCGGCCCCAGCCCGCGGGCGCCCCGGGCCUCCCCGAAAUCCCUGCCAGCAGGCAUCGCGGGCCCAGGACAGAGCCCCCCACCUCGGAGCAGCCGGGCGCCAGGCGAGUUAGGAGGCAUCCUCCGCUGACCUUGACCCCUCCCCGCGGCCACCUGGGACCCUGGCAUUCUAGAUGGUUUGAGGGGCUGCUGAUGGGGCAAGAGUUGCCUUUCUGAAGGACGUGGCUGAGAGUGCAAAACCUCAAACAACUGCCACGCUCGGUUUCAAGAAGACGUUGGACAGAAGUGUUCAAAUGUGUCCUGAGGCGGUCGGAGGAUAUUUUUUCAUGUCAUUUCCUUUUGUAGACCGAGUGUCUGAUUGGACCACUGUAAUGCUUUCUUUUUUGGUUGUUUUUAAACAAAGUGCCCGUGUAUUCUGAUUAAGGAAAUAAAUGAAAUGUGUGCGUACCUAUACCUGUGAAU